AUUGAACGCUGGCGGCAUGCUUUACACAUGCAAGUCGAACGGUAACAGGCCGCAAGGUGCUGACGAGUGGCGAACGGGUGAGUAAUGCAUCGGAACGUGCCCAGUCGUGGGGGAUAACUACUCGAAAGAGUAGCUAAUACCGCAUACGAUCUAUGGAUGAAAGCGGGGGACCGUAAGGCCUCGCGCGAUUGGAGCGGCCGGUGUCAGAUGAGGUAGUUGGUGGGGUAAAGGCUCACCAAGCCAACGAUCUGUAGCUGGUCUGAGAGGACGACCAGCCACACUGGGACUGAGACACGGCCCAGACUCCUACGGGAGGCAGCAGUGGGGAAUUUUGGACAAAGGGCGCAAGCCUGAUCCAGCAAUGCCGCGUGCAGGAAGAAGGCCUUCGGGUUGUAAACUGCUUUUGUACGGAACGAAACGGCUCUGGUUAAUACCCGGGGCUAAUGACGGUACCGUAAGAAUAAGCACCGGCUAACUACGUG
rnacentral:rRNA from 1 species